rnacentral:rRNA from 1 species
UACGAAGGGGGGCUAGCGUUGCUCGGAAUUACUGGGCGUAAAGCGCACGUAGGCGGCUUCUUAAGUCGGUGGUGAAAUCCUGGAGCUCAACUCCAGAACUGCCCUUCGAUACUGGGAGCUCGAGUCCGGGAGAGGUGAGUGGAACUGCGAGUGUAGAGGUGAAAUUCGUAGAUAUUCGCAAGAACACCAGUGGCGAAGGCGGCUCACUGGCCCGGUACUGACGCUGAGGUGGCGAAAGCGUGGGGAG